AUCCAAGACGCCCAGCCUCUCGUGGACACCAGCGCCCCUCUGAGCCUCAGUCACCUCCACCUGAAAUUCAAGAAGCUGAAGCUGGAGGAAGAACGGCUCGCCGUCAUUGACUGGGACAACCGUCUGCUGCUGGAGAGGUUGUCCUGCAUCAUGAGGACCAGGGGACAGGCUGAAAGUAGAAAGAGCCACACACAGAAGAGGGGAACCGUGGGGAUGCUACUCGCUCCAACAACAUGGCAUUUCCCCAAAGUGGAGCUCUCUGUGGGGAGGGAGAAGAGCAGGCCUCCAUGGCCUCUAAAAUCUUCUGGGGAUCCCUGGGUGGCACAGCGGUUUGGCGCCUGCCUUUGGCCCAGGGCGCGAUCCUGGAGACCCAGGAUCGAAUCCCACAUCGGGCUCCCGGUGCAUGGAGUCUGCUUCUCCCUCUGCCUAUGUCUCUGCCUCUCUCUCUCUCUCUCUCUCUCUGUGACUAUCAUAAAUAAAUAAAAAUUUAAAAACAUAAAAAUAAAAAAAUAAAAUAAAAUCUUCCUACA
rnacentral:lncRNA from 1 species